rfam:Brachypodium distachyon strain Bd21 chromosome 3, whole genome shotgun sequence.
UAUGUACUCCCUCCGAUCCAUAUUAAUUGUCUCAAAUUUGCCAAAAUAUGGAUGUAUCUAUGCCUAAGAAGCGUCUAGAUACAUGUUAUAUUUCGACAACUAAUAUCGAUCGGAGGGAGUAACAU